rnacentral:rRNA from 1 species
GACGGACGCUGGCGGCGUGCUUAACACAUGCAAGUCGAACGGAAAGGCCCUGCUUUUGUGGGGUGCUCGAGUGGCGAACGGGUGAGUAACACGUGAGUAACCUGCCCUUGACUUUGGGAUAACUUCAGGAAACUGGGGCUAAUACCGGAUAGGAGCUCCUGCUGCAUGGUGGGGGUUGGAAAGUUUCGGCGGUUGGGGAUGGACUCGCGGCUUAUCAGCUUGUUGGUGGGGUAGUGGCUUACCAAGGCUUUGACGGGUAGCCGGCCUGAGAGGGUGACCGGCCAAAUUGGGACUGAGAUACGGCCCAGACUCCUACGGGAGGCAGCAGUGGGGAAUAUUGCACAAUGGGAGGAAGCAUGAUGCAGCAACGCCGCGUGCGGGAUGACGGCCUUCGGGUUGUAAACCGCUUUCGCCUGUGACGAAGCGUGAGUGACGGUAAUGGGUAAAGAAGCACCGGCUAACUACGUG